GUGACGCAAGCGCCAGAGGGAGAAAUUUUCAGUACGAGACUUUUCGCAAAAUUGCAUGUAUAAUCAGCACACGCGUACAUUACGAAAAUCUGAUCUGUACAAAUUGUGUACAAUUGAUGGAAAAACAUUGCCAUCGGCUCGAUUUUUGAAAAAAUGCAGUUUUAUUUAAGCUAUGUUACCAACGCCAGUUUGUUGUGAAAACAGCAAAUUUUAAUCGCUGUUUCCACAACCAAUUGGCGUUCAUCCAUCAAAGUAUGGAUGAAUCUGUUUCCAAAUAUUUUCUACAACAUGCCACCGUUGAGUGGAGCAUGAGGUAGCAUCAGAGAGAAGAGUUCUACACAUUUUCCGUCUUUGUAGCGUGUGUCGAGCGGGCCAACGUAGUUGAGAGCCCGAUUGUAACAACUAUGGACAGCAUAUUCUAUUCCAAUCCAAAAUGCAAUUGAAAACAUCCGUGUUGAAUAAGAUAAUUCCGUCCGAAAUUAUCCAAUGUAAAGCAAAUACAGUUUACGCGAGGAUGUUCUGAGUUUUGUUAUAAGAUGCGUUUCGAUGGAGAUUUUAGACAUUAUCCUUCGAUCAACUCUCAGCUUCAAUUCAUCCGAAGAAGACAUUGAGCAAGUGAGCCGCGCAAUCAAUGCCUUUUAUUCCAAGCAAGAUUUACUUCUGUUUGGCUCCCAUCGACGUGGAAAAUAGUACUAUCAGCUUACGGCGAUGGUGACAAGAAAUAACACUGAUUGUGGCUCCACUGAUUUCGCGCUCAGGGAGGAGGAGAAUGCUGUGCAUAUACCGGGAAGGAGAUUACCAGAUCCAGAAGAUCCGGAAAGGGAUCUUACAAGUAAUUGGUUUUGCAUAAAGGCUAGAGCAAAAGGAGGUUUACGAUGAUUGCAACAGGAAAGUAACCAGUCGCGUUUUAAUCAAGGGAAAUCCUGAGCCUUGAAUUUUGUGUUUUUUGAUUUGUAAACACCGUGGCAAUACUGCUGAUAUUUGAGAUAUAAAUUUGAUUAAGAGAUUUUUUACAAAUAUAUAUUUGCUCUUUUUUUCCUUCAGUUAUUUUCCUCAGUGAGUUGAUAUGAAACCAUAACCACACAACCAAACAAAAAGUAAAUAAAUCUGAAAGCUACGUCUCGCUACCCGUUCAACGUCUUGUCAGGAAAGUGUCAAGAACGAAACACCCAGCAAACAUUAAAUCAUAUAAUUUUGCACGUGCCAAGUCUUACAAGAAAUCCGAAUAAAUCAUAAUCGCAUAUAAUAUCAAUCAAAGUAUGUAUCGUGUAUAUUUGAAAUCGCAUUAAAUGUAAAAACUCG